CUUAACCCACUGAGCCACCCAGGCACCCCUCAUUUCAAAAUCUUAAGUACAGAAUUAGAAAUACUUUUCUCCUAGGACGAGCUGAGUGAAGAUGUUU